rnacentral:rRNA from 1 species
GACACAGGUGGUCAGGUAGAGAAUACCAAGGCGCUUGAGAGAACUCGGGUGAAGGAACUAGGCAAAAUGGUGCCGUAACUUCGGGAGAAGGCACGCUGGUGUGUAGGUGAAGUCCCUGCGGGUGGAGCUGAGACCAGUCGAAGAUACCAGCUGGCUGCAACUGUUUAUUAAAAACACAGCACUGUGCAAACACGAAAGUGGACGUAUACGGUGUGACGCCUGCCCGGUGCCGGA